rnacentral:rRNA from 1 species
GUGAACGCUGGCGGUAGGCCUAACACAUGCAAGUCGAACGGCAGCACAGGAGAGCUUGCUCUCUGGGUGGCGAGUGGCGGACGGGUGAGGAAUACAUCGGAAUCUGCCCAGUCGUGGGGGAUAACGUAGGGAAACUUACGCUAAUACCGCAUACGACCUUCGGGUGAAAGAGGGGGAUCGCAAGACCUCUCGCGAUUGGAUGAGCCGAUUUCGGAUUAGCUAGUUGGCGGGGUAAUGGCCACCAAGGCGACGAUCCGUAGCUGGUCUGAGAGGAUGAUCAGCCACACUGGAACUGAGACACGGUCCAGACUCCUACGGGAGGCAGCAGUGGGGAAUAUUGGACAAAGGGCGCAAGCCUGAUCCAGCCAUACCGCGUGGGUGAAGAAGGCCUUCGGGUUGUAAAGCCCUUUUGUUGGGAAAGAAAUCUUUCAGGCUAAUACCCUGGGAGGAUGACGGUACCCAAAGAAUAAGCACCGGCUAACUUCGUG